rnacentral:rRNA from 1 species
UACGAAGGGGGCUAGCGUUGUUCGGAAUCACUGGGCAUAAAGCGCACGUAGGCGGAUCUUUAAGUCAGAGGUGAAAUCCCAAGGCUCAACCUUGGAACUGCCUUUGAUACUGGGGAUCUUGAGUCCGGGAGAGGUGAGUGGAACUGCGAGUGUAGAGGUGAAAUUCGUAGAUAUUCGCAAGAACACCAGUGGCGAAGGCGGCUCACUGGCCCGGUACUGACGCUGAGGUGCGAAAGCGUGGGGAGCAAACAGG